rnacentral:miRNA from 1 species
UAACUUCGAGGAGUUCCUCUGAACAAUUCCUCAAGUUCCUUAAAAAGUUCCUAACUUCCUGUUUCAUUGACCAAUCAAAUUUUGUAUUUUAUUUUUGAGCAAUCUGAUUGUUGAGGAAUUGUUCAGAGGAACUCCUCGAAGUUU